rnacentral:rRNA from 1 species
CGCGCAGGCGGUCUUGUCCGUCAGGUGUGAAAGCUCGGGGCUCAACCCCGGAAGUGCACUUGAAACAGCAAGACUUGAAUACGGGAGAGGAGAGAGGAAUUCCUGGUGUAGAGGUGAAGUUCGUAGAUAUCAGGAGGAACACCGAUGGCGAAGGCAUCUCUCUGGACCGAUAUUGACGCUGAGGCGCGAAGGCGUGGGUAGCGAACG